rnacentral:rRNA from 1 species
AAUCAACGCUGGCGGCGUGCCUCAGACAUGCAAGUACGAACGAAUUAAAGACUCUCUUCGGAGAGUGCAUAGAGUGGCGCACGGGUGAGUAACACGUAAGUAAUCUACCUUCGAGUGGGGAAGUAACGUCCGGAACGGACGCUAAUACCGCAUAAUGCAGCGGCAUCGCAAGAUGACAGUUGUUAAAGGAGCAAUUCGCUUGAAGAGGAGCUUGCGGCAGAUUAGCUAGUUGGUAAGGUAAUGGCUUACCAAGGCUACGAUCUGUAACCGGUCUAAGAGGACGGUCGGUCACACUGACACUGAAUAACGGGUCAGACUCCUACGGGGAGGCAGC